rnacentral:rRNA from 1 species
AACUCAAAGGAAUUGACGGGGACCCGCACAAGCGGUGGAGCAUGUGGUUUAAUUCGAAGCAACGCGAAGAACCUUACCAAGUCUUGACAUCCUUCUGACAAUGUAUGUAAUGUAUAUUCUCUUCGGAGCAGAAGUGACAGGUGGUGCAUGGUUGUCGUCAGCUCGUGUCGUGAGAUGUUGGGUUAAGUCCCGCAACGAGCGCAACCCUUAUUCUUAGUAGCCAGCGGUUCGGCCGGGCACUCUAGGGAGACUGCCAGGGAUAACCUGGAGGAAGGUGGGGAUGACGUCAAAUCAUCAUGCCCCUUAUGACUUGGGCUACACACGUGCUACAAUGGCGUAAACAAAGGGAAGCAAGACCGUGAGGUGGAGCAAAUCCCAAAAAUAACGUCUCAGUUCGGACUGUAGUCUGCAACUCGACUACACGAAGCUGGAAUCGCUAGUAAUCGCGAAUCAGAAUGUCGCGGUGAAUACGUUCCCGGGUCUUGUACACACCGCCCGUC